rnacentral:rRNA from 1 species
CCCUUAGAUGUUCUGGGCCGCACACGCGCUACACUGAAGGAGGCAGCGUGUACUCCUGGAUCGAAAGAUUUGGGUAACCCGCGAAUCUCCUUCGUGCUAGGGAUUGAGGUUUGCAAUUAUCCUUCUUGAACGAGGAAUUCCCAGUAAGUGCAAGUCAUAAGCUUGCGCUGACUACGUCCCUGCCCUUUGUACACACCGCCCGUCGCUACUACCGAUUGAAUGAUUUAGUGAGGACUUCGGACUGGGACCGAUGCGGCUUUCGGGCUGCGUCGGUAUUCUGGAAAGAUGUCCAAACUGUAUCAUUUAGAGGAAGUAAAAGUCGUAACA